AUUGAACGCUGGCGGCAUGCCUUACACAUGCAAGUCGAACGGUAACAGGUUAAGCUGACGAGUGGCGAACGGGUGAGUAAUAUAUCGGAACGUGCCCAGUAGUGGGGGAUAGCCCGGCGAAAGCCGGAUUAAUACCGCAUACGACCUACGGGUGAAAGGGGGGAGUCGCAAGACCUCUCGCUAUUGGAGCGGCCGAUAUCAGAUUAGCUAGUUGGUGGGGUAAAGGACUCACCAAGGCGACGAUCUGUAGCUGGUCUGAGAGGACGACCAGCCACACUGGGAC
rnacentral:rRNA from 1 species